rnacentral:rRNA from 1 species
UGGGGAAUAUUGGACAAUGGGCGCAAGCCUGAUCCAGCCAUGCCGCGUGAGUGAUGAAGGCCCUAGGGUUGUAAAGCCCUUUCACCGGUGAAGAUAAUGACGGUAACCGGAGAAGAAGCCCCGGCUAACUUCGUGCCAGCAGCCGCGGUAAUACGAAGGGGGCUAGCGUUGUUCGGAUUUACUGGGCGUAAAGCGCACGUAGGCGGACUUUUAAGUCAGGGGUGAAAUCCCGGGGCUCAACCCCGGAACUGCCUUUGAUACUGGAAGUCUUGAGUAUGGUAGAAGUGAGUGGAAUUCCGAGUGUAGAGGUGAAAUUCGGAAAUAUUCGGAGGAACACCAGUGGCGAAGGCGGCUCACUGGACCAUUACUGACGCUGAGGUGCGAAAGCGUGGGGAGCAAACAGG